rnacentral:rRNA from 1 species
AUUGAACGCUGGCGGCAGGCCUAACACAUGCAAGUCGAGCGGAUGAAGGGAGCUUGCUCCUGGAUUCAGCGGCGGACGGGUGAGUAAUGCCUAGGAAUCUGCCUGGUAGUGGGGGGUAACGUCCGGAAACGGGCGCUAAUACCGCAUACGUCCUGAGGGAGAAAGUGGGGGAUCUUCGGACCUCACGCUAUCAGAUGAGCCUAGGUCGGAUUAGCUAGUUGGUGGGGUAAAGGCCUACCAAGGCGACGAUCCGUAACUGGUCUGAGAGGAUGAUCAGUCACACUGGAACUGAGACACGGUCCAGACUCCUACGGGAGGCAGCAGUGGGGAAUAUUGGACAAUGGGCGAAAGCCUGAUCCAGCCAUGCCGCGUGUGUGAAGAAGGUCUUCGGAUUGUAAAGCACUUUAAGUUGGGAGGAAGGGCAGUAAGUUAAUACCUUGCUGUUUUGACGUUACCAACAGAAUAAGCACCGGCCAACUUCGUG